rnacentral:rRNA from 1 species
UGUAUUCGACCUGAGCUCAGGCAAGGCUACCCGCUGA